rnacentral:rRNA from 1 species
UUCGCCCUUAGAGUUUGAUCCUGGCUCAGGACGAACGCUGGCGGCGCGCCUAACACAUGCAAGUCGAACGAGAGAUGAGGAGCUUGCUCUUCAAAUCGAGUGGCGAAUGGGUGAGUAACGCGUGAGGAACCUGCCUCAAAGAGGGGGACAACAGUUGGAAACGACUGCUAAUACCGCAUAAGCCCACGGCUCGGCAUCGAGCAGAGGGAAAAGGAGCAAUCCGCUUUGAGAUGGCCUCGCGUCCGAUUAGCUAGUUGGUGAGGUAACGGCCCACCAAGGCGACGAUCGGUAGCCGGACUGAGAGGUUGAACGGCCACAUUGGGACUGAGACACGGCCCAGACUCCUACGGGAGGCAGCAGUGGGGAAUAUUGCACAAUGGGGGAAACCCUGAUGCAGCGACGCCGCGUGGAGGAAGAAGGUCUUCGGAUUGUAAACUCCUGUUGUUGAGGAAGAUAAUGACGGUACUCAACAAGGAAGUGACGGCUAACUACGUGCCAGCAGCCGCGGUAAAACGUAGGUCACAAGCGUUGUCCGGAAUUACUGGGUGUAAAGGGAGCGCAGGCGGGAGAACAAGUUGGAAGUGAAAUCCAUGGGCUCAACCCAUGAACUGCUUUCAAAACUGUUUUUCUUGAGUAGUGCAGAGGUAGGCGGAAUUCCCGGUGUAGCGGUGGAAUGCGUAGAUAUCGGGAGGAACACCAGUGGCGAAGGCGGCCUACUGGGCACCAACUGACGCUGAGGCUCGAAAGUGUGGGUAGCAAACAGGAUUAGAUACCCUGGUAGUCCACACCGUAAACGAUGAUUACUAGGUGUUGGAGGAUUGACCCCUUCAGUGCCGCAGUUAACACAAUAAGUAAUCCACCUGGGGAGUACGACCGCAAGGUUGAAACUCAAAGGAAUUGACGGGGGCCCGCACAAGCAGUGGAGUAUGUGGUUUAAUUCGACGCAACGCGAAGAACCUUACCAAGUCUUGACAUCCCUUGACGAUGCCGGAAACAGUAUUUCUCUUCGGAGCAAGGAGACAGGUGGUGCAUGGUUGUCGUCAGCUCGUGUCGUGAGAUGUUGGGUUAAGUCCCGCAACGAGCGCAACCCUUAUGGUCAGUUACUACGCAAGAGGACUCUGGCCAGACUGCCUUUGACAAAACGGAGGAAGGUGGGGAUGACGUCAAAUCAUCAUGCCCUUUAUGACUUGGGCUACACACGUACUACAAUGGCGUUAAACAAAGAGAAGCAAGACCGCGAGGUGGAGCAAAGCUCAGAAACAACGUCCCAGUUCGGACUGCAGGCUGCAACUCGCCUGCACGAAGUCGGAAUUGCUAGUAAUCGUGGAUCAGCAUGCCACGGUGAAUACGUUCCCGGGCCUUGCACACACCGCCCGUCA